UCUGGAGGCUGAGGAGCCCCAGGUUGAGGGGCUUCAUCUGGUGAGAGCCUUCUUGCUGGUGGAGACUCUGAAGAGUCCCGAAGUGGUGUGGGGAAACAUAUGGUUUGUUUUUUAUCAGUGUGUUGUACAGAGCGAAUGGCCUCGGACCUUCAAUGGGAGCUCAGAGAUCCCAAGAGGCAAAGCGGGGAAAGAAUAAGAAGAAUUGGCCAAAUGCAAUGUACCUUGAAGAAGUUUAAGAAUAUUAAUUCACAUCAAGUCAAAAUCGUCACCAUUAUGAAAGUAAUUACAACAACCACUGCUUUUGCUUAUUUUCCAUUUAUGCGAUUCAGCAGUACAAGCAAAAUGAGUUUUAGAAAUCAUUUCACUCUGGAAAGCUUUCAGAUCACAGAUUCCUGCUCAUAAGUGGAUAAAGGAUGCAGUAAAAUUGAACAAACACAGCUCGUCCUACAUUCUGAAGAUGGGGCACAUUUAUCAGAAACUGGGGCCUCAGCAGACACUGAAGAGAAAAACUGCCAGAGAGAAUUCACAUCAGUGCAGACCGAGAGUCUCAGAUGGCUAAGAGAUGUGCCUGACAACUUUUCAGAAAUAAGACUAUUAAAAGAAGGUCAGCUUGGAGUCUUACUGCGAGGAAUUAUAAACAGGCACGUGGAUUAUAAAUAGGGAGUUGGCAUGGUGGUUAAAUUUUUCUAAAACAGUCAUAUUAAUGUGUUCAAAAAUCCACUGCUGAGUCUCAGAGAGAGGGUCACAUCUGGCCAUGAAAAUCUUCUUCUCUGCGGGGUUGCAAUCCAUGCAGCUGUUGCUCACAGGAUGGAAUAAUGUUCUGUCCUGGAGGAGUGAGGAAGAAAAGAAAAGACUGUUGUAAUACGUGGUGAAUGGUUACAACCCAAAAUAUACA
rnacentral:lncRNA from 1 species